AGUCGAGCGGACAGAAGGGAGCUUGCUCCCGGAUGUUAGCGGCGGACGGGUGAGUAACACGUGGGUAACCUGCCUGUAAGACUGGGAUAACUCCGGGAAACCGGAGCUAAUACCGGAUAGUUCCUUGAACCGCAUGGUUCAAGGAUGAAAGACGGUUUCGGCUGUCACUUACAGAUGGACCCGCGGCGCAAUAGCUAGUUGGUGGGGUAAUGGCUCACCAAGGCGACGAUGCGUAGCCCACCUGAGAGGGUGAUCGGCCACACUGGGACUGAGACACGGCCCAGACUCCUACGGGAGGCAGCAGUAGGGAAUCUUCCGCAAUGGACGAAAGUCUGACGGAGCAACGCCGCGUGAGUGAUGAAGGUUUUCGGAUCGUAAAGCUCUGUUGUUAGGGAAGAACAAGUGCGAGAGUAACUGCUCGCACCUUGACGGUACCUAACCAGAAAGCCACGGCUAACUACGUGCCAGCAGCCGCGGUAAUACGUAGGUGGCAAGCGUUGUCCGGAAUUAUUGGGCGUAAAGGGCUCGCAGGCGGUUUCUUAAGUCUGAUGUGAAAGCCCCCGGCUCAACCGGGGAGGGUCAUUGGAAACUGGGAAACUUGAGUGCAGAAGAGGAGAGUGGAAUUCCACGUGUAGCGGUGAAAUGCGUAGAGAUGUGGAGGAACACCAGUGGCGAAGGCGACUCUCUGGUCUGUAACUGACGCUGAGGAGCGAAAGCGUGGGGAGCGAACAGGAUUAGAUACCCUGGUAGUCCACGCCGUAAACGAUGAGUGCUAAGUGUUAGGGGGUUUCCGCCCCUUAGUGCUGCAGCUAACGCAUUAAGCACUCCGCCUGGGGAGUACGGUCGCAAGACUGAAACUCAAAGGAAUUGACGGGGGCCCGCACCAGCGGUGGAGCAUGUGGUUUAAUUCGAAGCAACGCGAAGAACCUUACCAGGUCUUGACAUCCUUUGACAACCCUAGAGAUAGGGCUUUCCCUUCGGGGACAGAGUGACAGGUGGUGCAUGGUUGUCGUCAGCUCGUGUCGUGAGAUGUUGGGUUAAGUCCCGCAACGAGCGCAACCCUUGAUUUUAGUUGCCAGCAUUCAGUUGGGCACUUUAAGGUGACUGCCGGUGACAAACCGGAGGAAGGUGGGGAUGACGUCAAAUCAUCAUGCCCCUUAUGACCUGGGCUACACACGUGCUACAAUGGACAGAACAAAGGGCUGCAAGACCGCAAGGUUUAGCCAAUCCCAUAAAUCUGUUCUCAGUUCGGAUCGCAGUUUGCAACUCGACUGCGUGAAGCCGGAAUCGCUUGUAAUCGCGGAUCAGCAUGCCGCGGUGAAUACGUUCCCGGGCCUUGUACACACCGCCCGUCACACCACGAGAGUUUGCAACACCCGAAGUCGGUGAGGUAACCUUUA
rnacentral:rRNA from 1 species